ACAUGCAAGUAGAACGCUGAAGAGAGGAGCUUGCUCUUCUUGGAUGAGUUGCGAACGGGUGAGUAACGCGUAGGUAACCUGCCUUGUAGCGGGGGAUAACUAUUGGAAACGAUAGCUAAUACCGCAUAACAAUGGAUGACACAUGUCAUUUAUUUGAAAGGGGCAAUUGCUCCACUACAAGAUGGACCUGCGUUGUAUUAGCUAGUAGGUGAGGUAACGGCUCACCUAGGCGACGAUACAUAGCCGACCUGAGAGGGUGAUCGGCCACACUGGGACUGAGACACGGCCCAGACUCCUACGGGAGGCAGCAGUAGGGAAUCUUCGGCAAUGGGGGCAACCCUGACCGAGCAACGCCGCGUGAGUGAAGAAGGUUUUCGGAUCGUAAAGCUCUGUUGUAAGUCAAGAACGAGUGUGAGAGUGGAAAGUUCACACUGUGACGGUAGCUUACCAGAAAGGGACGGCUAACUACGUGCCAGCAGCCGCGGUAAUACGUAGGUCCCGAGCGUUGUCCGGAUUUAUUGGGCGUAAAGCGAGCGCAGGCGGUUUGAUAAGUCUGAAGUUAAAGGCUGUGGCUCAACCAUAGUUCGCUUUGGAAACUGUCAAACUUGAGUGCAGAAGGGGAGAGUGGAAUUCCAUGUGUAGCGGUGAAAUGCGUAGAUAUAUGGAGGAACACCGGUGGCGAAAGCGGCUCUCUGGUCUGUAACUGACGCUGAGGCUCGAAAGCGUGGGGAGCGAACAGGAUUAGAUACCCUGGUAGUCCACGCCGUAAACGAUGAGUGCUAGGUGUUGGAUCCUUUCCGGGAUUCAGUGCCGCAGCUAACGCAUUAAGCACUCCGCCUGGGGAGUACGACCGCAAGGUUGAAACUCAAAGGAAU
rnacentral:rRNA from 1 species